AGUGAACGCUGGCGGUAGGCCUAACACAUGCAAGUCGAACGAGUGGCGGACGGGUGAGGAAUACAUCGGAAUCUACUCUGUCGUGGGGGAUAACGUAGGGAAACUUACGCUAAUACCGCAUACGAUUGAAUGAGCCGAUGUCGGAUUAGCUAGUUGGCGGGGUAAAGGCCCACCAAGGCGACGAUCCGUAGCUGGUCUGAGAGGAUGAUCAGCCACACUGGAACUGAGACACGGUCCAGACUCCUACGGGAGGCAGCAGUGGGGAAUAUUGGACAAGGGGCGCAAGCCUGAUCCAGCCAUACCGCGUGGGUGAAGAAGGCCUUCGGGUUGUAAAGCACUUUCAGCGAGGAGGCGUUACUCGCAGAAGAAGCACCGGCUAACUCCGUGCCAGCAGCCGCGGUAAUUC
rnacentral:rRNA from 1 species